UGCAAGGACAUUGUAAAUGCGUUCUCGAGGUCGCUUGAUUUUGUUUUUUACUUUUUUGUUGUUGUUCUGUUGUUGACGAAUUUGUUAAGUGGUAUUGGUGCUUGAGAAUGCACAAUGGAAAUGCAAAAUGUGGCAUGACAUCACGCAACACUGGCAACAGAGGCGACCAGAGAAUAGUUCACGGGUGUUUAUGCAUGCGUUCACCCAAAAACGAAAUGAAAAAUGUGUUGACACAAAUUCGCAGUAUUGCUUUUUAAGUGAGUUUGGAAAAACCAAUCAUAUUGAUUCGAUGGUCAAUUUGACACGACAAUUUGGUCAGCGACAUGAAUGCCUAAUGACACCACAAGCACAUUUCCAUGUAAAAGAGCAUAAGAACAAAAAAUGAAUUUGGAUAAGGGAUAAUAGUUUCAAUAAAAAAGUUCCCCCUCGAGGAGUUCAUUCAACUUGGCAUGCAAUUUGGACUGGAAUUCAAUUUUUUAUGACUUCAUGCAACAUCAAACUGGCAACUAUGUUGUAGAUCCUUUUGACUCUAGUGGCACUUGGGAAUACAUACAUAUGUACAUUUG